ensembl:lncRNA
AAAAGAGCAAGCUGCAAAAAAAAUCUGCUGCUGCUAAGGAGGAGGAGGAGGAGGAAGAGAAGGAUGGAGGAGGAGGAGGAGGAGGAGGAGGCACCAGGGAUGUGACACUUACCUUGAGGAGUAUGGCAAAUACCUCUUCUGCCCGAAAGGGACAAAGAAGAUGAAAGAGAAUAGCGUGUCGAAGGCCAGCCGAGCAAAGGUGUUCCUCAAAUUCUUGACGCUCGGCUGGCCUUCCAUCAAAUAUUGGACUUGGGAAUUCCUUUCCCAAGUUUUUUUUUGCAAUGUCCCCCACAUAAAGACCUACCCUGCUGCGCUGAGAGCGGCUGGCCUGGCCCCGACCACACUCGUUUUGUAUGUGGGCCAGGCCAUCUCCUUCAUGGAGUACUUCCGCGAUACCCCGGCUAAAUACUCCCGAGUGACCAACGGCCAGCUGGUCAUGGUCACCCGGGAGUUGAGAAAACUGAUGAAAGACCUCAACAGGAACGUCCUUGGCCACCAGUCCCUGGUGAAACAGGGCAAACAGUUGAGACUGGUGGCCAAGGAGGACCUGGCCAAGUGCCAGCUCCUGUCCAAGGAAAAGAUCCCCUCUCUACUCUCACAACGAGUCUGCCUUCCAUCCGGCUGGACACAUACGUUGCCUGAAGUGGACCAGAGGUGUAUGUCAAAGGCUCUUUUCAGCUGGACCACACAGCGGCAUCCAGAGCUGGACUUUAGCAGGGUGGACAAACUUUGGUGGUAUCCUCCACAGGUGCCACAGGUGCCACCAGUGAUUUUCCUUUGUUGGAAAAUUACUUUGGCCAUCCCCUGCUGCUCUGGAUGCCACGAAAGCUGUGGCAAGUCAAGCUGACCUGUCCGCAUCCAGACUGCAACAAAAAAACUUCUGACCUCAGCUGGCCUGCAUCAAAAGAUACUUUGUUGCAUCUGAGUACCUGGCCUGCAGACGAUGCAAGCGGAAGGUCAGCUCGACAUUGGCCACAGGGUGCAGUUCCCUUGCAUCCUCGCAUCUAAACUUGCAUGUGAUGUUGAGGUAGCAAGUUUGAUGCGUCAGUGAGGGCUGGGAAACGGCAGCAGCCAGAUCCAACGGAAGCUGCAGGAGCGCCAUGCUGAGGUCUGGUUGCAGAAAACAGUCCAGUAUCUGACAGCUUGCAAGGGAAUUGCCAGUACUGUCACGUCGGGCCUGAUCCUGCCUGUGACAUUUAAACCUGCACCUGUCAUGCUUACUGUCCCCAAGCACCGUUGGCUGAUGCAGGUUUAUGCCCAGGAUGUCCUCCAAAGGCUGGAGGAAAUCAAGGCAACCAUCACGUCACAGUGUGGGCGUGUGUUGAAGAUGGACUCACAAAAAAGGUCGCCCGAAAGCUGGCAGGACACAGCUAUGGCACCGCUACCUGGGCAACCAAUGUUGGCAAUGAGCAUGGACAGGUGAUCAUGUCCGUGCUCACUGCCAGCGAAGGUUAUGGUCUCGGACCAAUGAUCGAGGGCCUCAUUAGGAGAUACAGAGUGGCUCGGGUGGCUCCUCCCGAAGUGCUAUAUGUUGACCGAGACUGCUGUGGCAACACUCUUCUGAGGAGGAUGUUUGAAGAGUGGGAGCAGAUGAUCAUCCGGUUGGACAUAUGGCAUUUCAUGCGGAGGUUUGCUGUGGGUUGCACUACUGACUCUCAUCAGUUAUACGCAAGGUUCAUGAGUCGCCUCAGCCACUGCAUCUUCAUGUGGGACCAGGAUGACCUGACGGCCCUGAAGGAGGCCGAGCAUGAAGAGCUAGUAGCUGACCGGAAGCAUCCAUCCGAGGCUGAUGUGAUGCGCUUUAUCAGCCGAAGCGAGCUAGCCCUGCAUUGCAGGAGAACCACCCGCGGGACCAAGGAGACCCAGGCUCUGAUUGAAAGCCAUAUCCACGCCUAUGAUGGAGACAGGGGUCGUGACACUCUGGGAGUCCCUUUGAUCAACUCGGCCCGGAUGAGUGCGAUCCUGAAGGCCCAGUGGAAGCAUGUGGCCUGCAUCCAGGAUCCUCUGGGUGUGCAGCUGUACACACAGACGGGGACAGUAGGGAAGGGAGGGCACCGCCUGCCUACCGCUGUGCCAGAGGUUCAACAUCCCUCGAGUCAUUUCACCUGCACCUGAACCGAUUCAUCCCAGGUACACUGGCAGGUGACACCUUCUUCCAGGCGUAUCUUUUGGAUGGACGUGCGAGGUCGAAUGAGGACCGGGCUGUGGCAGCGACGACAAUAGAUGAGCAGCAGCAUUCGUACAACCAUCUUCCCCGUCACGCUGUUAACAGUCUUGCAGAGGAUGUUCUGGGCGAGAAGAUCAUCCCUUAUGUCGGGCCAAGAAAAUACACUGGUGAGCUUAUCAGAGUGGAAUAUCUCUAUGAUCAAACCGGUAAAGUUCUGCAGGACUACAAUUUGGCCAUUGAGGAGUCGGAGACCUCCGAUUUUUCUGUAGAGGGGGAUGAACGCCACGCUGAACUUGAGGAGUUUCAGGACAUCACUGUCCCCACCUUCGAGACGGAACGAACACCUGCUGCCUCCUCUCAAGCACUGGCCUCUGUGGUCCCUCCAUCACCAGUACCAACACGUCCUGCGUCCUGCACCGUGGCAACGACCUCUGUGGUCCCUCCAUCACCAGCACCAACACGUCCUGCGUCCUGCACCAUAGCAACGGCGGAUCUUCCAGCAGUUGAAGAGUCCAUUCCACAUGAUGAUUCUGUUGGACCUGACAAUAUUCAGGGGUAUGGAGCUGUGCAGGACUUGGCAGAGGUACUGUUUGGCCUCAGAGACCACCGUCUGGCCUUGACUGGAGAGGAGUGCGCCCAGAUCAUCACCCUGUGGCAGGCGUUGGGGGAGUUUGACAAGAGGAAGACCGUUUACCCGCCACGUCACCAAUAUUGCCUGAAACAGGGACGAUUCAGGGCCACUAAGAUUGUGGCACCCGGUGUGGAGAGCACCAAAAGGUGUUUCGUUGGGGCUCACUGUCCUGCAGUGGCCAGACUGCAACAGGGUGGUGGAGGCCAUCUUCAUCAGGCUGUGUGCGCUCUACCCAAGCGCUGUGCGCUGUGAUGACAGGAGGGUGUCGCGCUUCACGGUGGUGACGCGUGCUAACAAGCACAUCAGAGAGUGCGUCGUCACCAACGCGAAGGUGCUGAGUGAGACCACCAUCCAGCUGCCCGAAGUCAAUGCAGCAACAGUGACACAAUGGUUCAGCAGGCGUUGCCGAUCACAGGAGAAUGAUACUCUGAUGCAGGGUGUCCCUUCUCCAGACGCACCCAUGGCAGGACCAGAGACGCUUCCUGUGGCUUUGCAGAAAGCCACAACUCUACAUUCUGGCAAUCUGGCUGAGCCUCACCUGUUCAUUCUGCCACCAAACACUGCUGGGCAGGCGAAGCUCAAGGGGAGACCGCAACCUCAGGCCAUCCACCAAGCACCACCACUUGGUGUGAUGGCACCAGCUCCACCCGUCUCUCUCCCCUUCACUGCACAGCUUCCUACCGUGCCUGGACCCUUGCAGGUGAUGGUCUUCAACCCCCCAACUCCGUUGUGUAAGGAGUUGAUGCCACCAUCAACUCCUUACACAACACAACUGUACAGGAAAAAAAAAAGAGAAAUACGUGAGGAAGACAGGCGUGAUCCUUUGUAGAAAGUGCCAGCAGGAACGGAAGCCACCGUCACACCCACGGACGUAAUUUGGGGGGGGGGGGACACAGGGGACAUGUCCCCUGCGCUUUUUCAAAAGGCCGUUCUGGUCCCCUGCAGUUUUCACCGUCCGGAAACCAUGUUACGCUAUGGUAAACAGAGACUCGUCAGGCACUAGGACCAAGCGGAAACGGCCGCUCGAGCUGAAGCCAGUUUGCUUUCGUUUAGACCUGCCCACAAGCUCCUCCAUUGGCUCUGCAUUCCUUGUGUGAUUGGCCGUCCCCGCUGUCACUCCAUCAGGUUAUAAACAGCACCAGUACGCACACCGGUCUGCCAGUUGGGGAGGAGGCCGUGUUAAUCUUCCGCUGUAAAUUGGGCGUUUGUUCUGCCUGGGCCACGUCAGCUUUCACACCUUAAUUGCCACGAUCAUCCUGUAAGGCUUAACAAGACGAGAAACUACUAUAACUGCCUAAAAUGACAGUGGUUCUGUGUUACAUUCAUUUUAAAUAAAUUUGAUCGCUUGACUACUUAAACUGAAUUAUGGACAUUUUAUUCAAUUUCUCCCCACCUGUGAUAUUCCUGCCAGUUUGACCUGCCCACCACUGGGUAGUGCUAUGUAAAUGAGGUCUGUUUACCAUAUAUUCCAAAAAUAAGUGUAAAAUUGGUGCUACUGAGAUGGAGUGAAGUUGACUAACAAGGUGAAACACAGAAUUGGGUGAUAAUGUUUUGCUACAUGCUUUACAACCAGACAAACCAAAAAAGGGAACAGUAAACUUAAAAGUAGCAACAGAAAACUAGAACUACUAGAAAACACAGUGAACUGAAGAGUUUUAUAAAAAAAUAUUUGUGUCCCCCCCACCUCUGAACCUGCAAUACUUUGGGAACUGGUACUGUGAAGGGUCUGAGAGACAGUCCUAAAGUGAAUGGAGGGCUGUGCUGGAAUAACGAGGGUACGGGAAAAAGAAGUGAUAACUUCCUUUUCCCGGGUGGAGCUGUUGAAUUAUAAAACAUAAAACAAUCAAAGAGCAGUUGGUUGGGUGGAGCUGUUAUUCCAUUCCUGUGUAAUGUUAGCACACUGACAUUACAUUCCUUUGUAAUGUCCCUUAUGUAAUGUCUUGUUAUGUGUUAUCACUGUUGUUGUUUGAACUAUAUUAUGUAUGUUUUAUAUUAUAAAAAUAUAAAACUGGUUCGGAGGUUUCUGG